rnacentral:rRNA from 1 species
GACGAACGCUGGCGGCGUGCUUAACACAUGCAAGUCGAACGGUGAAGCCUUCGGGUGGAUCAGUGGCGAACGGGUGAGUAACACGUGAGCAAUCUGCCCUUGACUCUGGGAUAACUUCGGGAAACCAGAGCUAAUACCGGAUAUGACAUCUGGCCGCAUGGUCUGGGUGUGGAAAGAUUUAUCGGUCAAGGAUGAGCUCGCGGCCUAUCAGCUUGUUGGGGGGUAAUGGCCCACCAAGGCGACGACGGGUAGCCGGCCUGAGAGGGCGACCGGCCACACUGGGACUGAGACACGGCCCAGACUCCUACGGGAGGCAGCAGUGGGGAAUAUUGCGCAAUGGGCGGAAGCCUGACGCAGCGACGCCGCGUGAGGGAUGAAGGCCU